GAUGAAGAACGUAGCGAAAUGCGAUAAGUAAUGUGAAUUGCAGAAUUCAGUGAAUCAUCGAGUCUUUGAACGCACAUUGCGCCCCCUGGUAUUCCGGGGGGCAUGCCUGUCCGAGCGUCAUUGCUGCCCUCAAGCACGGCUUGUGUGUUGGGCCCCCGUCCCCGGUUCUCCCCGGGGACGGGCCCGAAAGGCAGCGGCGGCACCGCGUCCGAUCCUCGAGCGUAUGGGGCUUUGUCACCCGCUCUGUAGGCCCGGCCGGCGCCAGCCGACACCCCAACUUUAUUUUCUAAGGUUGACCUCGGAUCAGGUAGGGAUACCCGCUGAACUUAAGCAUAUCAAUGCGGAGGA
rnacentral:misc_RNA from 1 species